AGACGUCUACAUUAGAUACCCCCGUAGUCCCAGCCGUAAACUAUGCGCGUUAGGUGUAUCGGUGACCACGAGUCACCGAGGUGCCGAAGGGAAACCGUGAAACGUGCCGCCUGGGAAGUACGGUCGCAAGGCUGAAACUUAAAGGAAUUGGCGGGGAGCACCACAACGGGUGGAGCCUGCGGUUUAAUUGGACUCAACGCCGGGAAGCUCACCGGAUAAGACAGCGGAAUGAUUGCCGGGCUGAAGACUCUGCAUGACUAGCUG
rnacentral:rRNA from 1 species